UCGCUAAUUAUGCUGGAAAAGUACCGCGAAAUGUGUUUUUGUGUGUUUUGUGCAAAAAAUUUUCCGCAAAAUAGGAAAAUUUGCACAAAAACUGUGGUGAAAAAAACAACAGGGACCAAUUUACAAUCAUCCCGUGCAGCAAAAUACGCGAAAUUGGACAAAUUUUCGCGUGAACGGCUGCCUUCGAGGCGUUUCCGGCGACUUAAGAAGACUGCUUCUCCGGCUCCUUCGUAUUUAAGGUACAUCAAGAAAUGAUGCCUCGCGUACAGUACAGGAGAGGGAAAGAUGAGGCACAGAAGGACGAGAUGAAUGAGCGCCGGAUCUUGCCACUACGGGUUCCCCAGCAUCGCCUCAACAUAGUCCCCGAGAUCCGGAUCGGACAGAUGGACCCAAAUGUAGCAAAUUGAUACGUCGGGAAAUGCUUCAUGUGCUUCCAGGGGAAAAGAUAAAGCACAAAAGGACGAGGAAUGGGCGGAUCUUGCCACUAUACGGGUUCUUCAGCAUCGCGUCAACGGACAGAUGAGGCAGAUCUGGUGGAAGUGAAGAUGGACCCAAAUAAGUCUGUCCGCCAAAAAUUCUCUUCACUGAAUGAGCAAACGAUACAUCAUCAAUCCGACACCAUGGUUGUGGUAAUUGGUCGUCUGAGGAUCCAGAAAAGAAUCUCUCAUGAUGGAAAGUGUCCUUAGCUCGUCAUCCAUGCUGGA